UACGUAGGGUGCAAGCGUUGUCCGGAAUUAUUGGGCGUAAAGAGCUUGUAGGCGGUUUGUCGCGUCUGCCGUGAAAAUCCGAGGCUCAACCUCGGACUUGCGGUGGGUACGGGCAGACUAGAGUGUGGUAGGGGAGACUGGAAUUCCUGGUGUAGCGGUGAAAUGCGCAGAUAUCAGGAGGAACACCGAGUGGCGAAGGCAGGUCUCUGGGCCACUACUGACGCUGAGAAGCGAAAGCAUGGGGAGCGAACAGG
rnacentral:rRNA from 1 species